CAUGUAGGCGGUUUUGUAAGCCUGGUGUGAAAUCCUGCAGCUUAACUGUAGAAUUGCAUCGGGUACUGCGAGACUUGAAUCACGGAGGGGAAACUAGAAUUCCAGGUGUAGGGGUGGAAUCUGUAGAUAUCUGGAAGAAUACCGGUGGCGAAGGCGGGUUUCUAGCCGAUGAUUGACGCUGAGGUGCGAAAGUGCGGGGAGCAAACAG
rnacentral:rRNA from 1 species